rnacentral:rRNA from 1 species
AACGAACGCUGGCGGCGUGCUUAACACAUGCAAGUCGAGCGAGAAAGGGGGAGCAAUCCCCUGAGUACAGCGGCGCACGGGUGAGUAACGCGUGGGUAAUCUGCCCCCCAGCCCGGGAUAACGACCUCGAAAGAGGUGCUAAUACCGGAUGACAUCGGCCUGGCGCAUGCCGGGCUGAUCGAAGGCGGCCUCUGCUUGCAAGCUGUCACUGGGGGAUGA